GAUGAACGCUGGCGGCGUGCCUAAUACAUGCAAGUCGAGCGAACAGACGAGGAGCUUGCUCCUCUGACGUUAGCGGCGGACGGGUGAGUAACACGUGGAUAACCUACCUAUAAGACUGGGAUAACUUCGGGAAACCGGAGCUAAUACCGGAUAAUAUAUUGAACCGCAUGGUUCAAUAGUGAAAGACGGUUUUGCUGUCACUUAUAGAUGGAUCCGCGCCGCAUUAGCUAGUUGGUAAGGUAACGGCUUACCAAGGCAACGAUGCGUAGCCGACCUGAGAGUGUGAGAGGCCACACUGGAACUGAGACACGGUCCAGACUCCUACGGGAGGCAGCAGUGGGGAAUCGUCCGCAAAGGGCGAAAGGCUGACGGAGCAACGCCGCGUGAGUGAUGAAGGUCUUCGGAUCGUAAAACUCUGUUAUUAGGGAAGAACAAAUGUGUAAGUAACUAUGCACGUCUUGACGGUACCUAAUCAGAAAGCCACGGCUAACUACGUG
rnacentral:rRNA from 1 species